GACCCUAUCGUCUAGAGGCCUAGGACCUCGCCCUUUCACGGCGGUAACCGGGGUUCGAAUCCCCGUAGGGACGCCA
rnacentral:tRNA from 1 species